CGUGUAGGCGGAUACUUUAGUCGGUUGUGAAAUCCCUGGGCUUAACCUAGGAAUUGCAGUCGAUACUGGGUGUCUUGAGUAUGGUAGAGGAAAGUGGAAUUCUCGGUGUAGUGGUUAAAUACGUAGAUAUCGAGAGGAACAUCAGUGGCGAAGGCGACUUUCUGGCCCAAUACUGACGCUGAGGCGCGAAAGCGUGGGGAGCAAACAGGAUUAGAUACCCUGGUAGUCC
rnacentral:rRNA from 1 species